rnacentral:lncRNA from 1 species
UAUAUAAGUUAGGUUUAUACAUAGUUUGAUUUUAAUUACUCAGUAGUCAUUAUUUUAGGAUUUUCCCAGGAUGUGUAUUUUCUUUGCUGUUGAGAUGAAACAGAUUUAUUAUCAUAUGUCAAUCAGUUAGAUGUGAAGUUUAUCACAUGUUCUUAGCAGGAGGUCUAAUUACAUCAGUUCCAAUACAAAUAUACAUGUCUUGUUAAUUAGUGACCACUUGUGGCAUUUGGCUUCCUUUGUCCUUUGUUUCUUGAUACAUUAAUCUGGGUGCAGUUUUAACUCCUCCCACUUAGGAGUAUCCCAUUAAGAAGUUGUGUAUUAAAAACCUGUGUAUGCUGCCUUGAGUAUUCAUUUAUUUAAAUGCAGAUUAAGCAGUUAUAAGAAUAAUAUUGGCUCUAAUAGUGUUUUAGCUAAAAACUUGCCUCCCACCGACCCCUCCUUUCGCCUUCAAUAUUGCCAUGACAGGGGAAUCAAUCUCAGCAUUAUGUUUAUAGAUUUCAUUUAUGAAAUUUUAUCACUGGUUGUUUCAAAAAUUUCACUCAUCCCCCAAGAAUUUCUGGGGAUAAACUGUCAAAUUUCAUACAAAUUCAUUCAAACACCAAUUCAACAUCAACACUACUAGGCUUCCUCAUAGCCUCCUAUAGGCUUCCUCAUUGUCUCAUUAUAGGCUUCCUCAUAGCCUCAUAGGCAUGAUAGCCUCUAGGAAUGAUAGCCUCAUAGGCUUCCUGAUAUCCUCAUGCAUUAUUUUGAACCAUCGUUCCAAUUGGAUUGGUGUGAUGUCAAGCCAGGGGUCUAUACUUUGCUACUUUCAGUAUGCACAUAGCUAGGCUCUUGGUUUAGGCAUGGAGCAAAAAAUUAAAUUUUUUAGCUGAGUAGUUUCCCCAAGGGCCAAA